rnacentral:rRNA from 1 species
AACUAGCAUACGAUACGGAUUUAUUGGGUGUAAGGGAGCGUAGGUGGGAUAUUAAGUCAGCUGUGAAAGUUUGGGGCUCAACCUUAAAAUUGCAUUUGAUACUGGUUUCCUUGAGUACGGUACAGGUGGGCGGAAUUCGUGGUGUAGCGGUGAAAUGCUUAGAUAUCACGAAGAACUCCGAUCGCGAAGGCAGCUCACCGGGCCGGAACUGACACUGAUGCUCGAAAGUGCGGGUAUCAAACAGGAUUAGAUACCCUGGUAGUCCGCACAGUAAACGAUGAAUACUCGCUGUUUGCGAUACACAGUAAGCGGCCAAGCGAAAGCGUUAAGUAUUCCACCUGGGGAGUACGCCGGCAACGGUGAAACUCAAAGGAAUUGACGGGGGCCCCCACAAGCGGAGGAACAUGUGGUUUAAUUCUAUGAUACGCGAGGAACCUUACCCGGGCUUAAAUUGCGCUGGCUUUUACCGGAAACGGUAUUUUCUUCGGACCAGCGUGAAGGUGCUGCAUGGUUGUCGUCAGCUCGUGCCGUGAGGUGUCGGCUUAAGUGCCAUAACGAGCGCAACCCUUAUCUUUAGUUACUAACAGUUUUGCUGAGGACUCUAAAGAGACUGCCGUCGUAAGAUGCGAGGAAGGUGGGGAUGACGUCAAAUCAGCACGGCCCUUACGUCCGGGGCUACACACGUGUUACAAUGGGGAGCACAGCAGGUUGCUACACGGCGACGUGAUGCCAAUCCGUAAAACUCCUCUCAGUUCGGAUCGAAGUCUGCAACCCGACUUCGUGAAGCUGGAUUCGCUUGUAAUCGCGCAUCAGCCACGGCGCGGUGAAUACGUUCCCGGCCCUUGUACACACCGCCCGUCAAGCCAUGAAAGCCGGGGGUACGUGAAGUACGUAACCGGAAGCAUCGUCCUAGGAAAACCAAAAU